rnacentral:rRNA from 1 species
GUGCCAGCCGCCGCGGUAAUACCGGCAGCCCGAGUGAUGGCCGAUCUUAUUGGGCCUAAAGCGUCCGUAGCUGGCUGCGCAAGUCCGUCGGGAAAUCCACUCGCUCAACGCGUGGGCGUCCAGCGGAAACUGUCUGGCUUGGGGCCGGAGGACUCGAGGGGUACGUCCGGGGUAGGAGUGAAAUCCCGUAAUCCUGGACGGACCACCGGUGGCGAAAGCGCCUCGAGAGGACGGACCCGACGGUGAGGAACGAAAGCCAGGGUCUCGAACCGGAUUAGAUACCCCGGUGUCC